GAUGAACGCUAGCGGGAGGCCUAACACAUGCAAGCCGAGCGGUAUUGUUUCUUCGGAAAUGAGAGAGCGGCGUACGGGUGCGGAACACGUGUGCAACCUGCCUUUAUCUGGGGGAUAGCCUGUCGAAAGGAAGAUUAAUACCCCAUAAUAUAUUGAACGGCAUCGUUUAAUAUUGAAAGCUCCGGCGGAUAGAGAUGGGCACGCGCAAGAUUAGCUAGUUGGUGAGGUAACGGCUCACCAAGGCAAUGAUCUUUAGGGGGCAUGAGAGGGUGCUCCCCCACACUGGUACUGGGACUCGGACCAGACUCCUACGGGAGGCAGCAGUGAGGAAUAUUGGUCAAUGGGUGCAAGCCUGAACCAGCCAUCCCGCGUGAAGGACGACUGCCCUAUGGGUUGUAAACUUCUUUUGUAAAGGGAUAAACCUUCCCACGUGUGGGAAGCUGAAGGUACUAUACGAAUAAGCACCGGCUAACUCCGUGCCAGCCGCCGCCGUAAAAC
rnacentral:rRNA from 1 species